UUACGAUCACAUCACGUUGAAACACCGGGUCUCCUGCGAUCACCGAAGUAAAGCAACAUCGAACCUGGUUCGUACCUAGAUGGGUGACCACAUGGGAAUACCAGGUACUGUAAG